AGAAUUUUUGCUAUUAAAAUGUAACUUUUGAUGAAAAGAUACGACUUAUUUCAAAUUAAAAUCAUAGCAAUAUAAUGUACCUUAAAAAUUAGAACUAAACUACUUCAUAAGAACUGCAUUAAACUGAGAUGGCCUUUAAGGUAUUUUAGGGUUCAGUGUUGUUAUUAUAAUGAUAACUCCUGAAGAGCUGCAUUGAAGUAAGACGACCUUUAUAAGGUAUUUUAGGCUUUAGUGUUGUAAUUUCAUGUAAUUGUUAGUUUCUUAGAUUAUAGAUAGAAUAAUAAAUAUUUCUGAUGUGUUAC
rnacentral:sRNA from 1 species